AACGCGAAGAACCUUACCAAGGUUUGACAUGCAGGGAAAAGCCGUAGAGAUACGGUGUCCGUAAGGGUCCUGCACAGGUGGUGCAUGGCUGUCGUCAGCUCGUGUCGUGAGAUGUUGGGUUAAGUCCCGCAACGAGCGCAACCCUCGUUCUAUGUUGCCAGCGGUUCGGCCGGGAACUCAUAGGAGACUGCCGGGGUCAACUCGGAGGAAGGUGGGGAUGACGUCAAGUCCUCAUGCCCCUUAUAUCUUGGGCUGCAAACAUGCUACAAUGGCCGGUACAGAGGGCUGCGAGACCGCAAGGUGGAGCGAAUCUCAAAAAGCCGGUCUCAGUUCGGAUUGGGGUCUGCAACUCGACCCCAUGAAGUCGGAGUCGCUAGUAAUCGCGAAUCAGCAACGUCGCGGUGAAUACGUUCCCGGGCCUUGUA
rnacentral:rRNA from 1 species